UGGGGAAUUUUGGACAAUGGGCGAAAGCCUGAUCCAGCAAUGCCGCGUGUGUGAAGAAGGCCUUCGGGUUGUAAAGCACUUUUGUCCGGAAAGAAAUCCUUGGCUCUAAUACAGUCGGGGGAUGACGGUACCGGAAGAAUAAGCACCGGCUAACUACGUGCCAGCAGCCGCGGUAAUACGUAGGGUGCAAGCGUUAAUCGGAAUUACUGGGCGUAAAGCGUGCGCAGGCGGUUUGCUAAGACCGAUGUGAAAUCCCCGGGCUCAACCUGGGGACUGCAUUCGUGACUGCAAGGCUAGAGUAUGGCAGAGGGGGGUAGAAUUCCACGUGUAGCAGUGAAAUGCGUAGAGAUGUGGAGGAAUACCGAUGGCGAAGGCAGCCCCCUGGGCCAAUACUGACGCUCAUGCACGAAAGCGUGGGGAGCAAACAGGAUUAGAUACCCUGGUAGUCCACGCCCUAAACGAUGUCAACUAGUUGUUGGGGAUUCAUUUCCUUAGUAACGUAGCUAACGCGUGAAGUUGACCGCCUGGGGAGUACGGUCGCAAGAUU
rnacentral:rRNA from 1 species